GCUCAGACAAGUCAAGCUCCGGAGGCUCUGUGGCCCCUGGGUGGCUAGCCUCUGCCCCGCUGCUCAGGGCGUGGAGCCAAAAACCCUCCCAAACCUGGCCUAGUUUUGUAGGCUCCCUGAACCAGCGAGCUUUCUCCAGCAAGCAGCCCUCAGCACAGUGAAGGAAACUGGCAACUCCCUGCACGCCCGAGCAGGAGUGCGGCCUCUCAGGCUCAGGAGAGGGCGGGGCACAAGGGACAAGGUCCAGGACCAGAUCCUUGCCCGCCCCACCCAGACCUCUGGCCCAGGACAGUCCACUAGCACCCCGGGACCCCGGAGAGCGACUUGGCCGCGCAGCCGCAGAGUGCACAAGCCAGGCGCUCACAAUUUCGCCCAGCUCAUCGCCGCUUCACUGCGCCUGCGCGGCGCGCGCGCCGGCCGAGCCCCUCCAUGGCUCGCUGUUUGACAGUUCCCAUCGCGGUCCUCCUGCGCCCGCAGGCCGGCCCACGCGGGCUAGAGCGCCCCGGUCUGAGGCGCCGGCUCCCGGAGAUCGUCCUCGGGCCCGGGGCCGCUUCUUACCUGCAGGGUAUUCGACGUGGGUGAGGGUCACCGGCAGCCAUGAAGCGGGGAGCGAGCACUGUCCGUCCGCUGCCAUCUUACCCGGAGACCGGGCUUGGCCAAGCAACCAAUGGGGAGCAAGGGGGGCGGUGGUCCUGACCUAUCACGCCGGGGAGGCGCCACGCACCCAAUCCGAGGCCGAUUGCAGGUAGUGGCGCAGCCAUUCAGGGUGCAGGCCGUGAGGCUGAGCCGCGCGGCGAAUCAGAGAGUGGGUACCCUCGCAGCUUUGCCAGUGUCCAAUCCUGGGCGAGCGAAGGUAGUUUUCUAGCCAAUCAGGAGAACGGAGGGGUCCAUCGCAGGACAGAGUGCAGAACAGCCAAUCAAAAGACAUACAGGAGGCACAGUUCUGCAAAGGAGCCUUUUUGUUAACUCCUGGGACGGAGCACAUACGAGGUGUCUUAGAUGGAAUGCUACUGGUUCCAUCAAUUACGCUACGUAGUAAGUAAGGCAACUUGGGAAUAUUUUUAGUAAGUCCAGAUGUUCCAUGUACCCUUCUCUGUUUUCCCAAAACAUUCUUGAGGAAGCAGCCACACCUCCCACCCACAGUCUAGGCCAGUUAUCCUGUCUCCAAGCCUUUACCUAAGCCAUUCCUCUACUUGGGAUGGGCACACACACUCCUGCCCCAUUUCCUGGCUCAAUCUGGCUUGUCAGUUCAUACUUACAGGUUCCCAAGGUAAAGAGAAGCCAGAAGAUCUCUGUGAAUUUGAGACUACUGUGGACUGCCUCAAAAAACAAACAAACAAAAAACCAGAGGGAGUCUCCAGUGCUCUCCAACAGUUGAACCGGCUUUGCCUGCCUCAUCUCUGGCUGCAUUACACGACACGGCCCACAGAGGCAGCCGCUGACACACAGGGAGAGCAGUCCUGAGGAAGUGACGAGUGAGGAACUGAAGAAGUGUGAAGAAGUAUGGGGACUGCAAACUGUGUGACCAGACGCACAUCAUUUUCAAAUAAGGCUAGAGUUAUGCCACGCCAGGGCGCCAGUGCGGGCACAACAGCAUUGCUGGGCUUUAGGGACAACUGUGAAGCCAACACUCCUAUCAGAACACUGCCUUAAAGAUCUGCUGGCUGAAGUGCUUACGAAAGUUCAUGCCUGAAGCUUGCUCUGUAUACCCCGGAGAUGAAGCAGAAAGCGAAUGUGGACGAAUGUUAAUGCCAACUAAAGGUGUUAGUUUUGAAUGCAGUGCUGGGGGAUUGAAUUCAAGGUUCUGUGAAUGCUGGCCAGGUGCUCUGCCACACACACACCUUCAGUCCUUGAGAAGAUCCAUUAAGCUGAAUUUAGUGGCACAAGAUGCAGAGCCAAGCAGAUCUCCUCGAGUUCAAGAUCAACCUGGUCUACAUAGCAAGAACUAGAACAUUCAG